UGACUGAACGAAUGCGCACGUCACCCCACGCGUUGUCUUCCAGUUCACCUCCUCCUCCCGCACAGCCAAAAGGAAAAGAAAAUCCGCCCAGAUUGAUUCCUUGCCUCGCCGUCGACGCGCCGCCCGGCUCCCGUCCCCCAUCCCGCUCCCUCAACAUCACGCGCGUUGCGCCGCCGAUGCCGUCUUCCCCGUUUCCCCUUGUCUCCUGGCCCAUCCCUAUACGCGGCGCCUCCCAUCUGCGCUCGUGCUCGUGCUGGUUACCUCCUCCACCAAUACAAACAUGCAGGCCCUCCAAUUUAUACUACUGCCGCACUUCGAUUACCUCAACUUUUCUCAUCUUUCUCCUGCCUCAAGUCCGGCACCAGGAGCCAUCGGACCGGACGAUUGAAUACUACCUCCUUGCCGCGCCCGGGCUUCACGGUGGCGGCGUGUACGUGUUCCUGCAGCACGCACGCCGCCUACAAGUCCAACUUCUGCACGCUAAAUCGGAGCUAUCGGGCCUGGAAAGCAAGAAACGAGCACCAACACCACCUGCGUCCAAAAGGUUUAUAUCUCAAGUCAAUCCAGCAUUUCAUACCGAGUUCCUAUAGGAUACGUUGGGUUAGGAGACUAGGAGGUGCUCUGUUAAUAACCAACACUACAGGUUACUAUCUAAAGCUGCCUUUGAUCACCCUAUCUGAGCCAAUAUACAGCAUAUCAAGUUUUCAACACCAUUGAUGAGCUUCAGAAUCCACAUUUCUUUGGACAUGCGAUACAGUUAAUAGUAACAAUAUCAUAUACCUUCACCCAUCUUAAUAGCUGCUUUGAGAACCAUUGAAUCUGUUGUUUCUACUUCCCUUUGGUAUUUGUAAUAAUUCCAGCUUUGUUUUGCGCAUAGCACUUUUGAUAUGUUUGCUCCAGUUACAGUGUUGUCAAAUGUUCAAAGCGCAUACCAAUAGCUAUAAAAAUUUUUUGUUUCUGCAACCUCAACUAAAAUUUUGUUUUGUCCAAACUGGGUCGCAUUAGUUGGAAAAUAGCUCUAGAUUAGGCACAUGUUUCCAUACUGAUAUUUUUGUUCAGUUGGAGAUGAAUGUAGAGUAAUGGACAACAACAGUACAAGGAAAAGCUCAUAAUUCUCAGCUCACUAGAUCUUUUGUACCAAGAGCUCUUAUCCUCUCAUAGACAUGUAACUUGGGUUUUCAUGGAUUCCACUAUUUUUGUAUAUUCUGCAGUUAGUUGUGUCGUCAUAGUCAUUCGCCUCCUUGCAGUCCUCAUUACUCUAGGUCUAGAUCAGUUUCUCUCCCACAGAUAAUUAUCUUCAAUAAUCUUGUAAGCUUGAACUGAUUCUGAAUUUCCUUGCUAUUUGACUGGGUAUUCGCUUUCAUGCUAACAGCCUAAGAUUUCCAUUUCUAAAAUCCUCUCUUCUAAUGAUCCUGACAUUCUAUGGUAGUCACUGAACACUACUGUCUAUGUUCUAAGAUUUCUCAAGACGAUUCAGUUAUUGUUGAAGAUUUCUCCAUUGUUUUGGGCGUGCAUUAGUUGUCCAAGAAAAAAGCUCUAGAUUUGUUACAUGUUCCCAUAUUGACAUUUUUGUUACAUGUUUCCAUUUGUCAUGCAGCCAACGGUUUGAAGUGAGUGCAUCGGAAUGAUAUCCUUCUUAGCGUCGGCAGACACGUGUAGGUCGAGGGCUGAAAGAUAUGCUGGAACCGUGGCCUACAUGGCGACUCUUGGGCAUCCCUACGAGCCGGAUUCCCUGUCCAUGAAACAAACAUUUCAUGCUUUGAUGAUGACCGACUUCAUGGGGGAAAUAUCGCGUAUGCGGCUGGAGUAUGCUUGCUGCGCUGCUACUAUCCGCCAAAAGAGAAGAAGAUGAUGGAACAGUUAACCACCACUUCGCAUGAUCCCAACCGAGGAGAAUGAGCGCUCAAUGGUGUGACAAUACACGCUAGAGAAGUUAUAGUGGCAGUGAGAAGUGUUUGGUCGAAAUGAUAAUCUAUGUCUUGCGAGCUGAUCAUCUAUCUGUUGUAAGCUCAGUGCUCAGAAUCAGCAAUUGUUUUUAGUCAUCAUGUAUGGAUGUCUUAUCACGUCUCCUACCUAUGGUUGGAGCAUGAGAAUCGGAAUAUUUUUUUUGUUUGUGUGAAUCGAUGAAUUAUAGAAACUGACACAGUAUUAUAGUCCUAAAAUCAUACUGAAAAUUGUCUAUCUACAAUAAUUAUGGGCAUCCUUUUAUAAAUUAGUA